ensembl:lncRNA
UUCAAAGAAGCAUUCCAGCUGCUGAAUCAGCUGAGAAGACAAAGAGCAAGGCUGGUGUGAAGCCCAUUCUGGAGCAGUGGAAACCAACAAAAUUAAAACAAACAAACAAAAAAUAUAUGAGGAAUCUGCACACAGGUGUGUGUGGUGCAGAGAAAAACUCUUAGCCUUUUUUCACUUGAUUUGCCAAAUCCCCAGCCCUGCAUCAGGGCUCCCAGCUCUGCCCAGCUGCCGGAUGGUGCUCUGGGAUUCAUCCCCUGCACUGCCUGCUUCUCUUUUCUGUUCACUGGAUCCCUUUGCUGUCCUAUGACCUGUCUAAUGCGGAGGAGAAGAAACGUGGUUGACUGCACAAAGAGGUUUCCCUCAUCCAUCAGUUCAUCUUCCCCUCCAGCCCUCUGCCAUAAAAUUGGCCUGUGAAAAGGAACACUGGA